AACGCGAAGAACCUUACCUACCCUUAACAUGUUUGGAACCUCGCUGAGAGGGGAGGGUCCUUCGGGAGCCAGAACACAGGUGCUGCAUGGCUGUCGUCAGCUCGUGUCGUGAGAUGUUGGGUUAAGUCCCGCAACGAGCGCACCCCUUGCCCUAGUUGCCAUCAUUUAGUUGGGCACUCUAGUGAGACUGCCGGUGACAAACCGGAGGAAGGGGGGGAUGACGUCAAGUCCUCAUGGCCCUUAUGGGUAGGGCUUCACACGUCAUACAAUGGUCGGUACAGAGGGUUGCCAAGCCGCGAGGUGGAGCCAAUCCCUUAAAGCCGAUCGUAGUCCGGAUCGUAGUCUGCAACUCGACUACGUGAAGUCGGAAUCUCUAGUAAUCGCAGAUCAACAUGCUGCGGUGAAUACGUUCCCGGGUCUUGUACACACCG
rnacentral:rRNA from 1 species